rfam:Dipodomys ordii contig_18960, whole genome shotgun sequence.
UAUGGCUUAGUGGUAGAGUGCUUGCCUAGCAUGCAUGAAGCCCUAGGUUCGAUUCCUCAGUA